UACGUAGGGUGCAAGCGUUAAUCGGAAUUAUUGGGCGUAAAGAGCUCGUAGGCGGUUUGUCGCGUCCGCUGUGAAAACCUAAGGCUCAACCUUGGGCUUGCAGUGGGUACGGGCAGACUAGAGUGCGGUAGGGGUGACUGGAAUUCCUGGUGUAGCGGUGGAAUGCGCAGAUAUCAGGAGGAACACCGAUGGCGAAGGCAGGUCACUGGGCCGCAACUGACGCUGAGGAGCGAAAGCAUGGGGAGCGAACAGG
rnacentral:rRNA from 1 species